rnacentral:rRNA from 1 species
UACGUAGGGUGCAAGCGUUGUCCGGAAUUAUUGGGCGUAAAGCGUGCGUAGGCGGUUUGUUAAGUCUGCUGUGAAAUCCCCGGGCUCAACCGGAGCAGUGCCUCGAAUACUGGCGGUCUCGAGGGAGGUAGGGGCGUGCGGAACUGUGGGUGGAGCGGUGAAAUGCGUUGAUAUCCACAGGAACUCCGGUGGCGAAGGCGGCACGCUGGACCUUUUCUGACGCUGAGGCGCGAAAGCCAGGGGAGCGAACGGG